CCUACGGGAGGCAGCAGUAGGGAAUAUUGCUCAAUGGGGGAAACCCUGAAGCAGCAACGCCGCGUGGAGGAUGAAGGUUUUCGGAGUGGAAACUCCUUUUGGUAGAGAAGAAAAUGACGGUAUCUAACGAAUAAGCACCGGCCGACACCGUGCCAGCCGCGGUAAUACGGAGGGUGCAAGCGUUACUCGGAAUCACUGGGCGUAAAGAGCGCGUAGGAGGGAUCGUAAGGCAGAUGUGAAAGCCUGUGGCUUAACCAUAGAACUGCCUUUGAAACUGUUAUUCUAGAGUAUGGGAGAGGUAGGUGGAAUUCUUGGUGUAGAGGUCAAAUCCGUAGAUAUCAGGAGGAAUACUCAUUGCGAAGGCGACCUGCUAGAACAUAACUGACGCUGAUGCACGAAAGCGUGGGGAGCAAACAGGAUUAGAUACCCGGGUAGUC
rnacentral:rRNA from 1 species